UCCUCCUCCUCCCUCAGAUGGGGAGAUGGGGAGAGAAGUUUGCCGGCGGCGCGGUCCACUCAACAUUUACUGUAUUUCAUUUGGGGAACAGCAACAAGAGCCUCGCGGAGAAGCUUUCCAGGGAAUGCUGAGGAAUAUCUGACGAACAUCUGCAACGCCGCCGACACCUUCCUGUUUUCUGUCAAGAGAAAAAGAAAACAAAACCCCCUCAUCAUCAUUGAUGUCGCUGAAGUAGUGGGAAGCUCGGGUCAGUGGGACAGCGGCCGCACGCGGACUCUCGGUCUGCUUUUAAUUUGUGGGACCCGGAGAAGAAGAACGGGGACGAAGGCGAAGAGGAAGGAGGAGAAGAACAGUCUAGGUGAAAGUGAGAAAAGAGUCCGGCUCAGGAUGAAUAGCAACAAAAUCGAGAAAGAGAACGAGCAGAGUGAAUUCACCAACCACGAAGAGGAGGUCCGAACGCUAUUCGUCAGUGGCCUACCGCUGGAUAUCAAACCGCGGGAGCUGUAUCUCCUCUUCAGACCAUUUAAGGGCUACGAAGGCUCCUUGAUAAAGCUCACUUCCAAACAGCCAGUGGGGUUUGUCAGCUUUGACAGUCGAUCAGAGGCGGAGGCUGCUAAGAAUGCCUUGAACGGUGUCCGUUUUGAUCCGGAGAUCCCCCAAACUCUGCGGCUGGAGUUCGCCAAAGCCAACACCAAGAUGGCCAAAAACAAGCUGGUUGGCACUCCCAACCCUCCUCCCUCCCAGCAGAGCCCCGGGCCACAGUUCAUCAGCAGGGACCCAUAUGAGCUCACAGUGCCUGCUCUAUAUCCCAGCAGCCCAGACGUGUGGGCGUCAUACCCACUGUACCCGGCGGAGCUGUCGCCGGCCCUUCCACCCGCUUUCACCUACCCCUCCUCGCUCCACGCUCAGAUCCGCUGGCUCCCACCUGCAGAUGGAACUCCUCAGGGAUGGAAGUCCAGGCAGUUCUGCUGAAGUAUGUGUUCCUGAUGUGUGAUGGUGGCCGUGGCCGGCUGUGACGGGGCGUUGCUGAUUGACCUCUCGUGUCCUAUUAGAAACCAGGAGGACUGACCUGACCCCCGGCCCCUCGGAGCAGCGCACCGUCGGCAGCAGCAGCCUCAUGGGCCUCAGGACAUACUAGACCCCAGCCUCCAUCACACAUCGAGCCCCCUCACCCUCCCCAAAGUCCCUCCAACUCUUUUUAUUUUAUUAUUAUUUUUUUUUUUUUAUAUAUAUAUAUAUAUAUAUACUGUUACAUAUUUGAGCUUUACAGGCAGCGCUUUGGCUACACCUCCUCUGACACCUCCGUGAAAGGUACCCGGCGUGCAAGGCGAAAAGGUGCACACCGACCGACCGCCUCUUUGCAUUCUGCGUAUGCAAGCGCGGAGGCGGACCACCGAGGGAGCGCAAACACGUUUUUAUGCAGCCACUUUGCAAGGCCAGACGUACGGAAGUGUGGCUAAAGCGCUACUUGCUAAUGUUGUUAUAUGACUAUAAUUAUUACUUUUUUCUGUAUAUCAUUCAUAUUAAUGUUAUUAUGAUUAUUAAAUACAUGUCAAAGCAUGACUUUGCAAAAAAAAAAAAAAAUUAAAAAUAAAGGAAAAAAAAAACAAUGCUGUACAUUUUUAGAUAUUUUAAAGAAAUACAAAAGGGUAUUUUUGUAAUCAAGACAAUGUUUGAGACGUUUUGAUUGGUUUAUGUCAAGUGUGUGAGGAAUUUCUUUUUUUUUUUUUUAUGCUUUUGGUUUUGUUUUUGUUUUUUGUGCCAUUAUAGGAUGAUAAGUCGCCCUGCUAAACCAAAGCGGCCCCCGUCUUUUCUACGUGCUGCGUGGAUUUUUCGGUUUGCUCUUGUUUCUUUUGUGUGGUGUCAAACACAGAAGUCCUUUGUGUAGUCAACUGCGCUGUGACAAAACACACCUGAUCCAGCUCAUUAUUUUUGCGGUCGGAGGUAAUCAGAUGUGUUAAAAAAAAAAAAAAAAAAAAAAAAGAAAAAAAAAAUAGAAGAGGCAUUGACAGGAACAAGCCAUCGCCGGUGAAGGUAGAGUGACCCCAGAGACGGCAAUACAUGGCGAACUGAGCCCUGCUAUUAUUAGGAUUUCACUCCUUCUUUGUGUAGCGGGAGGACAGCGGCGCAGUAUAGAGAAACAAAAAAGACCAAAGGCAUUUUUAUUUUACACUGGAGAGCUAUUUAGGCUAGUGGAAUUAUUCCGUUUUUGACUGCUUUGUAGUCCUCAGUCUGAUUUCUUAUGAAGUACGACAAUAUUUUUUUGCUGCAUGUCCCCUUUUUGGUGUCACUCCAAAGAGCCAAUCUGCAUCUGAAAGCAUAUUCGCUAAGCAAUUUGCCUCUUUUGUCUAUUUUUAGGGAGCCAAAGUGAUUCAACCUGCUUUUCUUAAGUCGGAAUUUACAUACAAAUAAUUGGAGUGUUUUAAAAAAGAAAAAGUCUUUUGUAAUCUCCUGUCUCUCUGGGACUGCAAUAAUGUCUUUGCUGUAUGACAUAUCAUCCACUGAUCAUAUUUCUGUGACGCGUUGACGCCAAAACUCUUAAAAACAGCGACUCGUCUGCUGUUCUGAUAAGGUUAGGUCACAUUUCACACGGAUGUGACAAUCAGAAACUGUAAGGAAAAAAAAAGAAAAGAAAACGACGCUCCCUGUGAUGUUUAGCCCAGGUGUGUACAAUCAUAUUGGACUGGUUAAUACAGUAGUCAGUGUUUGUAAUGAAUAAUAAUAAUAUGCAUCAUAUAUAUCUGAUUUUCUGAAGCGGUUUUUGCUUUGAAAGACAUUUUUUAAGCCGAGCGUGGCACCAAAUUUAUUAGAACAAGUAUUUAUAAAAAUGUGUGUGCGUGUGUGUUUUUUUAUGGGUAUAGUCUUUUUAAAGUUCAUAGAAGAUGCCCAUUAUAUAAUUCAUUGUAAGUAUUAUUGUAAGUUUAAUUGUAUAUUCAUUUGGUAAUUUUUCUAGAGCAUUGUUCGUUUUUUUUUUUUUUUUGUAUGUGUCCGUUUGGAGCAUACUGUAUGUGAUAUGUGAAUACGGUUUUACCUACAUAAUUCACUGUGAAAUCCAGAGGAGAAAAAAAAAAUAAGAAGAAAAAGAACAAACGGAUCUUUUUGUGUUUUGCCAGCGGUACGGUACAGAAGUUCCUGGAAAUGAAUAUGAUGAUCCCUCCUUUCUGUCAAUGAAAAAAUAUUCCUUUGCUUGUUUCAGUAUACCGUGUGCGUAGCUGUGUGUUCUGUGCAUGUUCACGGCAUGUGUGUUCUUUUCUUUUUCUCGAUGCAUACAGUACUGUUGAUAUUUAUGUACUUUAGCCGCUGUGAGGAGAAAAAACUGUAUUUCGGUGAAUUGCAGAGGUUUCUUUGAAACAUUAAAAAAAAAAAAAAGGGUGAUCAAAAUGAGUUUUUAUGAAAAUGUUGAAUGAAGACAUUUCAGGCCAUCAGCCAUUAAAGAUUGACAUUAUCCCCGC